GCCCUGCAUCCGCUCAAUUCUGGACGUGUUCCCGACCAACAUACGUGGGCGGCCCGCAUCCAGGAACACCCCGUGGGUGUCCUGACUCUUAAUCAGGAGGUUCUAGGUUCGAGUCCUAGGCGGGGCA
rnacentral:tRNA from 1 species